UACAGAGGUCUCAAGCGUUUGUUCGGAUUCAUUGGGCGUAAAGGGUGCGUAGGCGGCGCGGUAAGUCGGGUGUGAAAUCUCGGAGCUUAACUCCGAAACUGCAUUCGAUACUGCCGUGCUUGAGGACUGGAGAGGAGACUGGAAUUUACGGUGUAGCGGUGAAAUGCGUAGAUAUCGUAAGGAAGACCGGUGGCGAAGGCGGGUCUCGUGGACAGUUCCUGACGCUGAGGCACGAAGGCCAGGGGAGCAAACGGGG
rnacentral:rRNA from 1 species